UUGGAGGGCAAGUCUGGUGCCAGCAACCGCGGUAAUUCCAGCUCCAAUAGCGUAUAUUAAAGUUGUUGCAGUUAAAAAGCUCGUAGUUGAAUUUCGGGAUCAGAUUGUUGGUCGUGCCUCGGUACGCACUGGCAUUAUUGGUUCCUACCUUCUGAAGAACCGCGAUGUCAUUAAUUUGGUGUCGUGGGGAAUCAGGACUGUUACUUUGAAAAAAUUAGAGUGUUUAAAGCAGGCGCACGCUUGAAUACAUUAGCAUGGAAUAAUGAAAUAGGACGUUUGAUUCUAUUUUGUUGGUUUCUAGGAUCGACGUAAUGAUUAGUAGGGAUAGUUGGGGGCAUUAGUAUUCAAUUGUCAGAGGUGAAAUUCUUGGAUUUAUUGAAGACUAACUACUGCGAAAGCAUUUGCCAAGGAUGUUUUCAUUAAUCAAGAACGGAAGUUAGGGGAUCGAAGACGAUCAGAUACCGUCGUAGUCUCAACCAUAAACUAUGCCGACUAGGGAUCGGAUGAUGUUAAUUCUUUAAUGACUCAUUCGGCGCCUUACGGGAAACCAAAGUGUUUGGGUUC
rnacentral:rRNA from 1 species